CUUUCCCUCAUCCCGCUACUCUCUUCUCCGGGCCGCCGCCGCCUCCGCUCCCCCUCCCUCUCGGCCGCAGCCUCGUCUCCGCCUCCUCCACCGCCUCCUCCUCCCCUGCCUCUCCUCCUCCCGCGUCUCCUCGUCCCCUCCCUCUGCCUCCGUGCUCAACAGGAGGAGCCGAGGUCGCUGCCGCACCGCACGAUGGUGGGCGAGGGCGAGCUCCGUGCUUCCCGCCGCUCCCAGCCACCGGGCGCCGUCCUGCCGACGCGGCCCACUGCACGCUGCCACCAGCGUCUUCUUCGGAUGAACCCCUCGAGCCCCCACCAUGGCGGCUGCCUACAGAGGAGUGGAGCCCCCACCUAGAGGAAAGACUGGCACAGGUUCGAGGAUGUAAAUCCAUCUGAUAAAUUGUUGAUCGGGAUUAAGUAUUGUACUGACAUACCUGAGAACUUUAAGGAUCUAUCUGCUACCAGAACACCUUUUGCUGAGUGGGCUAGCUCCGUAUGGUAAUAUAUUGAUGGAAGUUAGACAAGUGGAGUUGUACUAUUUGGUCAGAGUUGAUAUUUUUCGGUGGAGUUGGGAACUGAACUGAUGGAGUUAUACUCAGUGUUAGCUACACCUGUUUUUGGUCGCAUGGAUACUUUUUAUGGUCGGUGUAAGCGCACAAGCUGGUGGUUCCUGAGUUUUUAUAAAGUAGGGAGUAAGGUUUUCAUUCUGAUGCUUUAUUGUUUUAGGAUUUAGAUAUUUUUCUAACCGGUUUACAGGGCUAAGGUGUUUAUGUUUUCCCCUUGUUACAGUUCAUGCAAUGCAACCUCCUUUCUCUAAGGUUUAUGCUUAAGGGUAUAAUUUUUAUAUUUGAUUUGGUACUCCAUAUAGGUGGAUACAAUGAUUAUAUCAGCAGCCCCGGAACAAUGGCAUUGAAACUGAUUGUCCUCUUCUUAGCCUUUGAUUUCUUUCAUUAUAAUCCGAUAAGAUCCUGUUUCUAGAUGCUUGCAAUUUUGAAGGAACCAGGUUAUGUAUGAUUGCAAAGAUCACUGAGAGGUUUGUUAUUAGAUACAUGAGGCAGGAGCUGGGUAUUUGUCUGUGGUGGCAACAAAGCUGUCGUUUAGGAGUUGGUGUACAGUGUAAAGAAAGGCAUGCUUUUUUAUUUUUAAUGGCGUCCAGAUAGUUGGAGAACCUAUAUUUUCUUCAGAUCUAUAGGUUCAAGAGAUGCAGUUUCUAUUUUCUAAUUAUACUAGCUUGAUCCAAUAAUGACAGAAGUUCCACAAGCUCUUAAUUAUUUCAGUUACUUGUGCAGUAUGGAAUUUGAUAAUUUAACAUGUGCACUGCAAUUGGCAACACUUUAAACAAAACCUUGAGUUUCUUUUCUCAGGAAUGCGAAAAUGAAUCUGUACUUUGAGGUACUCAUAUGCUGAGGACACAAGAUUCCGUCGAGUGUUCAUGUAUACAUAGUGGUAGUUGUGUUUGGUAGCUAGGAGCAAACAAUACUAGGAACGUUUACUCAGACUCAGUCGAACUAAGGCAAGCACCCAUGCUACUUCUCAUGGACUUCCAUGUGUAGAUGGCGAGAAUGGUUCGACAAUAUAGUGCUUCCAUAUGCACCCAUGCUACUUUAGUUUAGGAUCGUCGCAUAUUAUCUUUAAUAACGCUAUGCACUGAAUGGACAGACUGUACACCCUUCUUUUGUUUAUUCAGAACAGAUCAGCUAUAGAGAAGGCUAAUGUGGUUGGAGAAGGAAUUAAUACACUGGAGUGCUCCCUAAGAGGGCACAAACUUCUCCAACCACAUAAUUGUAGUUUCAAGUCUGCUUUCUCUGUUUGUCAAUUUUUUGGGGAACAUAUAAAUGAACUACAUUUUUGGUGCAAUUGCUCUAUCACAAUCGGAUUGACCCAUCCGAUGCUUCACUGUAUCUUAGCAUGCUUAUCGAGUACAUUCCUUAUAUCAUUUUUAUAGCUAAAUUGAUUUGUGUCAGGUAUGGCUAUAAUGGCAGGUUGUCCUAACAGAAGCUUCAAUUUUCCUGUACAGUUUAUAGGGGCUAUAAUGGGUGCUGGGGAUCUGAAUAUUCAAACAGAAGAUGGAAAUAUUGGCAUGCCAAGUAAUGUCUGUUGUGUCAUUGUGGAGUACCUUUCUGGAGGUGCAUUGAAAAUAAUUCUGAUAAAGAACAGGAGAAGGAAGUUAUCUUGUAAAGUUGUGGUCCAGAUAUCUGUUGACCUUGCCAGAGGAUGAUUACAAGGACAUAAAACAGUUGGAACCAUCGUACAUCAUGUCACAAUUUAUAGAGCGGAUAAUAUAUUGUGGCCGCCUGCACCUUUGUGACAAGAAUGAGGAAUGGCCCUCCUAUGCCCUGCUCCUCUCGCAUUGGCGCAAAUUCGCCUCCUCCCCCACCUCCGUCUCCAUGUGUGCAACAACGAUCCCGGGAGGAGCUCGAGCCGCAGCGAUGGUCCAUGGUGCCGUCACCGUCAUCUUUGGCAAGAGAAGCGUGGGCUGCAGAGACGGCCGGAUCCGUCCGACCCUCGCGCUGCCGUCCGUCCACCCUCGAGGAUAAUGUGUUUGUUCAGCUGAUCUGUACAGUUUCAAUGCCGGGUUGUUAAGGAGAAUGCAGAUGAUGCAUAUUCUACGAGUUGCGGACCCCCCAACAGCAAAUUCAGUCCUACGUCUUUGAUGGCUAAGCAUGGUUUCAGUUCUUAGAUGUUCGAUCCAUCAAGAACUUGUACAAGCAGAGCUGUCCUAGAGAAUAAAGCUGCAGGCUGAGUUUAGAUUGUUCUUUUGCCGGAAAUGGAACAGUUUCUACAACCAUAAUGUCCGUGCACUGCGAAAGAUCAUCCGUAGCACCACGAUGCCUGAUAACUACUAUGUGUGCCACAUGACAUAAACAUUUGCAACAAAAGGCAAAAGAAUGCACUUUAGCAUUCCCUUUUCUAUGGGUUCGUUUUUCCCACACAUGGAUGCUGACCAUGGUGAACUGGCAAUCACUACUAGAGACGGAACUACCGCUGUGACGAUCCGCUUUAUUAAAGGUGUUGACAAAGGGGCCACCAUCACUAAAGGCUGGAGCGGCUUCUUCCGUCAGGCACACAUGAACGAAGGACAACCAUAUGCUUUCGCCUUCAAAUGCAUUUACAAGGGACUGCAUCUAAUUGACUACUCAAUAUAAGCAAGUUGCAACAACCCCUUGUUAUAUGACUUUUGUGUUUAUCAUCCCUUAAGACCAUCCUGUGCAUUUAGUUAUCGGUUAUUUGCUGCUUAGACUGCUAUGUAGUAUGCUUUUGAAAUAGCUAUGAUAAAAGAGAUAUAUGCUUAAGCCUUCAA